GACGAACGCUGGCGGCGUGCUUAACACAUGCAAGUCGAACGGAAAGGCCCUGCUUUUGUGGGGUGCUCGAGUGGCGAACGGGUGAGUAACACGUGAGUAACCUGCCCUUGACUUUGGGAUAACUUCAGGAAACUGGGGCUAAUACCGGAUAGGAGCCCCUGCUGCAUGUUGGGGGUUGGAAAGUUUCGGCGGUUGGGGAUGGACUCGCGGCUUAUCAGCUUGUUGGUGGGGUAGUGGCUUACCAAGGCUUUGACGGGUAGCCGGCCUGAGAGGGUGACCGGCCACAUUGGGACUGAGAUACGGCUCAGAAUCCUACGGGAGGCAGCAGUGGGGAAUAUUGCACAAUGGGCGGAAGCCUGAUGCAGCAACGCCGCGUGCGGGAUGACGGCCUUCGGGUUGUAAACCGCUUUCGCCUGUGACGAAGCGUGAGUGACGGUAAUGGGUAAAGAAGCACCGGCUAACUACGUG
rnacentral:rRNA from 1 species